AAGCCAGGAGAGUGUCCACCUGAAGAACCUGUGGGAGGAUCAUGUGCCAUGUACUGGUGACUCUGACUGUCCAGACAAUGAGAAGUGCUGCAGCAAUGGAUGUGGACAUCACUGUACAGCUCCAUAUACAGUGAAGCCUGGUCGGUGUCCCAAACCAAAGAAGAUUCCAGUGUGUGCUGAAAGCUGUUAUGAUGAUGGCCAGUGUCCUGCCACAAAGAAGUGUUGCCCAACCACCUGUGGCCAUGCAUGCAGUGAACCCUAUAGGAAAGGAUCACGGAGAUACUGAUUGUGUAAC